rnacentral:rRNA from 1 species
ACGGAAGGCAGCAGUGGGGAAUAUUGGGCAGUGGGCGCAAGCCUGACCCAGCAACGCCGCGUGAAGGAUGAAGGUCCUCGGAUUGUAAACUUCUUUGAUCAGGGACGAAUUUUGACGGUACCUGAAGAACAAGUCACGGCUAACUACGUGCCAGCAGCCGCGGUAAUACGUAGGUGACAAGCGUUAUCCGGAUUUACUGGGUGUAAAGGGCGUGUAGGCGGUUUAGCAAGUCAGAAGUGAAAUUCCCGGGCUUAACUUGGGCGCUGCUUCUGAAACUGUUUUACUUGAGUGCUGGAGAGGAAAGUGGAAUUCCUAGUGUAGCGGUAAAAUGCGCAGAUAUUAGGAGGAACACCGGUGGCGAAGGCGGCUAUCUGGACAGUAACUGACGCUGAGGCGCGAAAGCACGGGGAGCAAACAGGAUUAGAUACCCUGGUA